CAGAAAACAACCAAUGAUGACUCUAAGGUGGUCAGGCCUAAUGGCCAGAGCAGUGGGGUCAGAAGCCUGCACCAAAGGUCAGAGCUGGAGUCAGGAACCAGAGCCAAGAGUCGGAGCUGGGGCCAGGAGUCCAAGAGUAGCAACUGCAGGCCUCAGUCAGUUACCAAAGACAAAGCUCAGAUGCCUUCUGGUGGGAAAGGGAAAUAAGUUGUUUCUGCAAGGACAAAGGCCACACAGAGUUAGUGUUUAAAACAGAUUGGCAGCACCCUGGACCCCACCAUGUGAGAGACGAGGGGGUGGCAGCCCCAACCACGACACCAACCCCCGCUGGGUGGGGAUGGGUAGCAGAC